AAGACUUUAGAUAUGAUCCAGAGUACCACGGGACACGUGAAACCCUGUGGGAAGCAGGAGGGACCACCCUCCAAGGCUAAAUACUACCUAGUGACCGAUAGCGUAUAGUACCGUGAGGGAAAGGUGAAAAGAACCCCGGGAGGGGAGUGAAAUAGAACCUGAAACCCUGCACUUACAAGCUGUGGAAGCACAUUUCUUGUGUGAACGCGUACUUUUUGUAGAACGGGCCAACGAGUUACGUUAAGUAGCAAGGUUAAGCACUUAAGGUGCGGAGCCGUAGCGAAAGCGAGUUUUAACUGAGCGUUCAGUUACUUGACGUAGACCCGAAACCGGGCGACCUACCCAUGAGCAGGAGGAAGCGAAAGUAAAAUUUCGUGGAGGUCCGAACCCACGGGCGUUGAAAAGCUCGGGGAUGACUUGUGGGUAGCGGUGAAAUUCCAAUCGAGCCCGGAGAUAGCUGGUUCUCCCCGAAAUAGCUUUAGGGCUAGCCUCAAGGUGAGAGAUACGGAGGUAGAGCACUGAAUGUCCUAGGGG
rnacentral:rRNA from 1 species